CAGACGGAUCAUUUCUAGGUCCUUCAUCCAACACCAAGCAAUUCCUUAGAUUUAGUGGCUUUACGGUCCCACCUGACCCUCUCAAGAACUAGUGGCUUUUCGGUCCCACCCGACCCUCUCGAGAACUAGUGGCUUUACGGUCCCACCCGACCCUCUCGAGAACUAGUGGCUUUUCGGUCCCACCCGACCCUCUCGAGAACUAAUGGCUUUACGGUCCCACCCGACCCUCUCGAGAACUAGUGGCUUUACGGUCCCACCCGACCCUCUCAAGAUGCCAUACUAUGUCACCGAGCCACGUGCAUUCUCCAGGAAGACAUACCGAGUCUCCGAGCCACGUGCAUUCUCUAAGGCUACCUUUUCGCCAAGAUGACAUAUC
rnacentral:lncRNA from 1 species